UGUCAUGGCUUAAGAGGUAAAAAAGGAAACCGUCAUACAAAAGAAAAAUUCGCAAACGGAUGGAUCGACUGCUCCCAAUUCCCAAAGUGAGGAAGGAGAUUGAGGCUGACCUGGAUCCCAUACUUGAGGAGGAGUUUGUCUCCCAUUCAACUGCAGCCACCAAUGAAAGAAAUGGGAAGAUUUGGGCUCUCCUUCCUGCAUGCGUUCCCUAAACUUCUUUUCAAUUGAAAUUGUCUGAGACAGGAUUUGACUUGCUGACUUCUAAUUGAAAGGAUGCAGAGCAACAGGACCUAUGAAGAUGAGGACUAAGGCCAACCAACGGAAGAGGAGGAACAGGAGGACCCAUGUGUAGGAGGACUAUCAAGGCCAGCCAGCUGAAGAAGAGGAUCAGCAGAAUCCCUGGAGAUGACUAAGGCUGACAACAGAAGAAGAGCAGUAGGACCCAUUAACAAAAGAAGGACCAAAGCUGAUCAACAGAAGAAGAGGAGCAGCAGGACGCACGAAGAAGAGGACGAAGGUCGACAAACAGAAGAAGAGGAGCAGCAGACACAUAAAGAUGAGGACAAAGACCGGAUAACAGAAGAAAUGGAGUCUAAUUCCUAGCUAUAACCAAAUGGUUAGGCAAGCGUCGGCCCUACAGAGAGGUAUAACUCCACUGUCAGCAGAAGUGUCGAGAGCAGGGAUCAACUUUAAUCAACCAUGGAAGAAAUGGGUGAAGAGGAGACGAUCACCUUCUAGGAAUUGAAUCUUAAGAAGGAGUCAACAGCUGCCAAUUUGUGAAGUGUAAGGAACACAUCAAAAUGAACCAUCUGAUCUGUCUUGAUAUUUGUGGAGCAUAGAAGGAUGUGCAACACAUCAGAAUAAGUUCAUGUCAUGGAGCAAUAGAAAUGUAGGGAGAGACAUUUGUUACUGAAGAUGUUGAACUCUAUUCUGACUUUGUUUGAAGGUUUCUGUGAUCUUUUAUGAAGGAUCUGUGACCUUGUGUAAAGGAUUUGUGACCUUGUGUAAAGGAUCUGCAACCUUGUGUACAAGAUUUGUGAACUUGUAUAAAGGAUCUGUGAACUUGUGUAAAGGAUCAGUGACCUUGCGUAAGGAUCAGUGACCUUGUGUUAAGAUCUGACGAGACCUUUCUCGAAUAUCUGAUUUUGUAUUUCCUUGUCAUAUAUAUAAGUACUUAUAAUUAUUAUUAUCUUAUGAUUUCUAGACUGUCAUCAGAAUGUCUUUAAAAAUAAAACACGACAAACAUUUGAUAUCAGGAUUUCAAGUAAUAUCCAAUAGGAUUAUAUAGGUAAUAAUAUCCUCUGGUAUCCAACACAAAUGUCUGGUAAUGAACCUCAAUCAUUUUUUGUGAGCAAGCUUAUGAAAGUAGCAAUAUAUCAAUCACAAGUUAUAAGGAAAAAUUAUUUAUUAUCGAGGAACAUCUCAUCUGACCUUAAGCGUCUGUAACCUUGUGUGAAGGAUCUGUGAACUUGUUUCAUGGAUUUGUGACCUUGUGUGAAGGAUCUCGGAACUUGUGUUAAGAAUCUGGGAACUUAAGUGAUUGAUCUGUGACCUUGUGUUAAGGAUCUGUGACCUUUUCAGUAGAAUCUGGAAUUUUCAUCCGAUGAAUUGCAGUUUCAAUUUGUGGUCCUUCCUAUCUUUCCUCUUUUUUAUGCUAUUACCUAAGCCAGUUAGUUUCCUUGUUACACCAGUUGAAAUCGAAAAUCAGCCAGUCUAAAUUUCAAGUAAUUGAAUGCAUAUCAAACAUUCAUACUCAGACUCAAAUAACAUUUUGUAUUGGAAGCAAUUUUUCAUUAUUUUAACAUUUUAUGUACAUUUUUUAUGGAAGUUUUAAACAACAGUGAAUGGAAAAUUAUACUCUGCCUUUGAUGGAUACUGUGUAUUCAGUUUGUUUUAACAACUAUUUUCAUUCAUACAUGUAUGAAUAAAUAAUAUAUGCUUCUUAGAGCUUUUCUGGGUUAUAUAUACUUGUAGCUUUUUUUAAAUACUAGUUUUCUAGUCAUAAUUUGAACCAAGGUUGUAAUCAGGAAGAGUGUGUGGCAGACUUAAGUCAGACAUGGAUAGGAUGCCGGGAUUUCCUUGCAAAUUUAAUAUCAUCUGUAAAUAUACUUCCUUGCCAUAUUUUGCAUGUAUGACAUGAAGGAAUGAAUCAAUUUAUGGAUUAUAAUUAAUACAAUUUAUAGAUUCAA